UGGCAUUGGGAUGAAAUUUAGAAGUAUUUCUUUCAACACGAGGCCCGACCUAUGGCGAUUCCCUGCGCUCUGGAGCAGGCUUUGUGGCACCCACGGAGUUGAGCGUGGCCUCAUUCUCUUGGCAGCGGAAAGAGCGUUUCAAAGAGCCCCAGACUGUCAAAAUCAAGCAAACAGAACCUCAAAACCUGCCCAAACAACUGUGAGCUCGCAACAUGGUAUGGACAAAUUGCACCACUCAUGCUGGUUAACUAAAACCGGGAUAGUAGAGUAAGCGAGUUCACUCCCUGGGCCAUGGCAAGAUCUGUUCAGCGCGGGCUAUUCCAACCUCCAAGUGCAUAGUCACCGAUCGAUCCAUGCGAUGGUGGUUGACCUACAAAGAGCGAAGGUCUACGAGUACUACUAUUGGAUGUUGUCUACAUGCAGCAACAAAAUCAAAGUACCUCAGUAUGCCCCAGAAUAGGGCAUGUGCAUCUAUAGCAUGACACAACAGGGGUUCUGGCGGCACCUAUCAAACAAGCAGUAGCGACUAGUGCCAGCUACCUAUUGGAGGCUAGCCGCUACAGUCUGUCACUGGAGAUAAUUAUAAUGUUCACUGUUUAGACUGAGCACAAUCAAUGAUGCCCAAUCAAUCUGCCCAAUGUGUGUUCUGUUCCACCUAAUUAUAACGUCCCAUCGCAUCAACCCUACUACACGCACAUGUCGUCACUCUAGCAUGACUUGUGUUAUUAUUGUUUAUUUUGAUUCGCACGAUAAAUAGAGCACAAUAAACGUUAACUUGACCGAA